rnacentral:rRNA from 1 species
AAGGAUCAUUACCUUCACAGUCCGAAAGGACUGCUCGGGGGGGCUCUGCUAUGGUGGUUUACUGCUAUAGCAAGCUCCUGUCUGAACCCUUGUCUUUUGCGCACUCAUGUUUCCUCGGCGAGCUUGCUCGCCGGUUGGACAACCUUAUAACCUUUUUAAUUUUUAAUCAGCGUCUGAAAUAAUUAUAAUAAUUACAACUUUCAACAACGGAUCUCUUGGUUCUGGCAUCGAUGAAGAACGCAGCGAAAUGCGAUAAGUAGUGUGAAUUGCAGAAUUCAGUGAAUCAUCGAAUCUUUGAACGCACAUUGCGCCCCUUGGUAUUCCAUGGGGCAUGCCUGUUCGAGCGUCAUUUGUACCCUCAAGCUCUGCUUGGUGUUGGGUGUUUGUCUUGCCUUUGCGUAUGGACUCGCCUUAAAGCAAUUGGCAGCCAGUGUAUUGGUCUUGGAGCGCAGCACAAUUUGCGCUUUUAGCUAAUAGUCACUAGCGUCCAUAAGCCUUUUUUAUCACUUUUGACCUCGGAUCAGGUAGGGAUACCCGCUGAACUUAAGCAUAUCAAUAAGCGGAGGAAAAGAAACCAACAGGGAUUGCCCUAGUAACGGCGAGUGAAGCGGCAACAGCUCAAAUUUGAAAUCUGGCUCUUUUAGGGUCCGAGUUGUAAUUUGCAGAGGGCGCUUUGGCGUUGGCAGCGGUCCAAGUUCUUUGGAACAGGACGUCACAGAGGGUGAGAAUCCCGUACGUGGUCGCUAGCCUUCGCCGUGUAAAGCCCCUUCGACGAGUCGAGUUGUUUGGGAAUGCAGCUCUAAAUGGGAGGUAAAUUUCUUCAAAAGCUAAAUACUGGCCAGAGACCGAUAGCGCACAAGUAGAGUGAUCGAAAGAUGAAAAGCACUUUGGAAAGAGAGUCAAAUAGCACGUGAAAUUGUUGAAAGGGAAGCGCUUGCAGCCAGACUUGCCUGUAGUUGCUUAUCUAGACUUUUGUCUAGUGCACUCUUCUGCGGGCAGGCCAGCAUCAGUUUGGGCGGUUGGAUAAAGGUCUCUGUCAUGUACCUCUCUUCGGAGAGGCCUUAUAGGGGAGACGACAUGCAACCAGCCUGGACUGAGGUCCGCGCAUCUGCUAGGAUGCUGGCGUAAUGGCUGUAAGCGGCC